rnacentral:lncRNA from 1 species
AUAACUAUUGGUGGGAUGCAUUUUGCAUCAUAGAUAUCUUAUUUCUCAUUGUUUCCUCUAGUAACAUUGAUUUAAUUUGAAACCUAAGAAUAUCAACAAGAGGAAAUGUUGACAAUCAAAAUUAAACUUUUGUGGGAGAACAAGUUUGCAGUUUUGUUUUUUGUUUUGUUUUGGUUUGGUUUGGUUUUUCGAGACAAGGUUUCUCUGCGUAAUAGCCCUGGUUGUCCUGAAACUCACUCUGUAGAACAGGUUGGCCUUGAACUCAGAAACCCGCCUGCCUCUGCCUCCCAAGUACUGGGAUUAAAGGCAUGCGCCACCACUGCCUGGCUACAUUUUUGUUUUUAUCAGUAUUUUAAAUCUUGUAAAUGUGAUCAAUAUUACAUAUCCAAUGACAUUGGAAAAUAUUAUGUCAAAUUAUACCAUAUGACAAUUAGAGAGUAAAAAUAUGUAAUUUGAGUUUUCGUUUCAUCAUUAAAUUAUUUGUUAUAUUUAAAAGAGUUUAUUAUCUUCUUUGCUUGAAAUCUAUAAGUAGCUGUAAAUUGUCUGCGUGAGGAGUUGAAGAGGUGUCUUAGCCGAUGCGAAUGCUGACUGCAUAAGCAUACAUCUUAUUCUGAGUUUAUUUUGGUUUUUAAUUACUUACAUUCCAAAUGUUCUCCUUCCUGGUCGUCUUUUCAUGAGUUCUUCAGACCAUCCCCUCCCACCCCUCCCCCACCCCCCGACCUUUGCUUCUGAGAGGGUUCUCACCCUCCUACACCCACCCAUACUUUCACCCCCACCCACCUUCACCUCAGCUCUCUAGCAUCUUCCUUCCUUGGGGCAUCAAGUUUCUAUAAGACUAAGCACAUCCUAACCCACUGAGGCCAGAUAAGGCAGUCCUCUGCUACUUACAUAGUGAGGGGCACAGACAAGCUCCUGUAUGCUCUUUGGUUGGUGGUCACUGGAUAGCCUUUCCUUCAGUCUUUGCUUCAUUUUUUUCCCUGGAUUUCCUUUAAAAAGGAACAGUUGUGGGUCAAGAAUUUUGAAGAUGUGUGGGUGGCCCCAUGCCUCAAAAGGGGGCACUAUCUAAGAACUGUAGGUGGUCUCUUUAGGUUCCAUCUCCCCACAGUUGGGCAUUUCGGCUAAGUCCAUCCCCAUUGGUUCCUGGGAGCUUCUCACAUCCCUGGUGUCUGGGACUUUCUAGAGGUUUCCCUGGUCCUCCAUACCUUGCAGCUGCAUGUUUCUAUUCAUUCUCCUGACCCUCUGGCCUUCUCUACUGUCUUCCACAUACCUGAUCCUGGUCCCCUUUUACUCUCACCUUCACUUAUCCCACACAGGUCCUUCCCUCCCUCUGCCUCCCAUGAUUAUUUUGUUCCCCCUUCUAAGUGGGAUUGAACCAUCCACACUUGGGCCUUCCUUCAUGUUAAACUUCUUAUGGUCUGUGGGUUGUUUGUGUAUUCUGCACUUUUUUUUUUUUGAUUAAUAUCCACUUAUCAGUGAAUACAUAACAUGUAUGUCCUUUGAGGUCUGAGUUACCUCACUCAGGAUGAUAUUUUCUAGUUCCUUCCAUUUGUCUGCAAAAUUCACAAUGUCCUCAUGAUUAAUAGCUGAGUAAUAUUCCAUUGUGUAAAUGAACCACAUUUUCUGUAUCCAUUCUUCAGUUGAGGGACAUAUGGGUUGUUUUCAGCUUCUGGCUAUUAUAAAUUACGCUGCUAUUGUCAUAGUGGAGCAUGUGUCCUUGUGGUAUGGUGGAACAACUUUUCUGUAUAUACCCAGGAGAGGUAUAUCUUCAGGUAGAUCUAUUUCCAAUUUUCUGAACUGCCAGAUUGAUUUCCAGAGUCAUUGUACCAUUUUUCAGUCCUACCUAUAAUGAGGAGUGUUCCUUAUUCUCCACAUCCUCUCGAGAAUGUGCUGGCAUUUGCGUUUUUGACCUUAGCCGUUCUGAUUGGUGUAAGGUCAAACUCAGGGUACAAUUUAUUUUGUUAACCCUCCCCACCUCUGGUCAUCGUCCCUUUUGGUGUUUCCAUUUGAACCUUGCCUCUCUAUUUUCUCUGAUUUUCCCCUUCUAUGCCAGUACCACAGAGUUUCCAUUAGCCUCUGAUGUCCCUUCAUGGGCCUCUUACACAUUUUCUGACAGAUAUGCACGCUCGCUCUCAUGUAAACAUAUACAUAAUAAUUAGAAAUGAAAACUUGCAUCUGAGAAAGCAUGAGAAAGUCUCUCCCUGUGAGUUUCAGUUACCAUGCAUAAUAUAUUUUUCCAGCUCAAGCCAUUUAAGAAUUCAUUUUAUUUUGCAUUGAGUGAGAGUUAAUUUAAUAGAAUAUGGAAGAACAACGUGAAUGGAUGUUUAUGCUAAGUUCUUAACAUAAUUUUGGCAUCUAUUAUUCCUCUUUAUGAAGAUUUUGAAUUUAGUAUUCCCAUGAAAGUCAAGGACAUUGUUUGCAACUUACACUUUCAUUUUAUACAAUGUUUAAAAAUGAAACCUUUAUUCUAAAUUUUAAGGCAUGCUUAAUUUGGAUAAUUUAAAAAUAAUUUUUAAACAUUUCAUAGUACUUAUAACUUUUGUUAGUAUUACAUCUCACCUAAUCUGCAUUACAGUUUGUAUAAGGACGUGGACUGUAAUAGUUCUCUAGUCCAUAUUCAGGUUUUUUUGUUUGUUUGUUUGUUUUUGUGUUUUGUUUUUGUUUUGUUUUUUACAGAGGGCUGUACAGGGCUGUAUGCAUACAUGUCAGCAUGGUCAAGUAUCUGUCAUCACAUGGUAAUAUUGAUUAUUUCAUUAGCAUAUUUAUGAAGAAGGUGGAUUUGAAAAAUAUUGUCAAUAUAGGUCACUUUUAGUCUUUAAGUAAAUGAGAUGGAUUAUUACAUCUGACAUUUGCUCUGACUUUAAUUUCUAUUAUAGAAUAUCAGUUAAAAUUGUAUGGUGCAUUGUAUUUUGUCUUAUCUUGCUUGUGAUAUUGAUAAAAAUUUAUUUAAGUAAGAUAUGUUACCAAUAGAGAAUCAGCUUUGUUU